rnacentral:lncRNA from 1 species
UGCACAUGAUAAAUGUAAUAAGAAUCCUCUAUAAAAGAUGGACUACAAGUAGAAAACCUUAAGUAAGCACAAAGAUUGUAGUGUAUAAUUGAGAGGUAGGUUAGUGAUUAAAGGAAAUAUCAGAAGAUAGUAACAGAGAAAAGAAAAAUAGCUAUUCAAAUUACAAGAGUUUCACCAUGAAUGUCAACAUAAUCUAUGAAAUAAACUACAUACAAUGCUGCCAAAAUAAUCCAAUGCUACCAAAUCUGACGUAUGCACAUCUGCAGUGGCAGAUAUGGUCCUCAAAACUCUUGCAUAGCAUAUGCCAUUUUUUCACUUUCAGCAAUUACUCCCCCUAUAAAACAUCUGUGGUUACUCUUGAGGCUCCAGAAAAACCUUGGGCAUGCCAUCACUAAACCUCAAAAGGUCUGAAUGAUUCUGACUGUUUGAGCUAUAUGGUGAGCUGAGAGCAUUUACAUGACAGGAAACUAAAAUAGAUAAAAAACAUCUGAUUGAAGCUAUCCUUUAGCUCUAUUCUUGCGUCUUUGAGACUACAAGUUUCUAGUCACAUAUGAAGCAGAGCAAUUUUUACUUUCAGACAAUCAUCAUAUUCAAGAGACUAUUGAGGAAUAUGGGAGUAAAUAUCCUCUGGAGUUCAUGGUUUCAGUUGGGGCUGCUAUUCUAACCAUUUUACCACAACAAAGAGGAUGGUAAAUCCAAGGGCAGCACCAGAAACCCCCACUGCAGUUUGCUGGUUGUCUGAAUCCCAUGCAGCAUCCCAGAAAACACAAGUGGUCUCUUUCAAAGCCAAAAUAUAAAUGAUCUCUUUCAAAGACUUUAAGGACUCAUUUUUCUUAUCUUUAAUUGGAGACUCAUGAUACUUCCUGUUCAAGAUCCACCACUAUUUAACUUGCCAACCAACAUGAUGCUUCUUGAGCUCAAGGAGCUACAGAGACACAUCGCCUUCCAAAAUAUAUCAAGCCACAAGAAGAAGCAAUAAAUGAUUUUAUUCCCACCUGAUUUCGGCCAUCCAAUGUUUUCUUCCUUUAAAUAACUCAAAUUGACAUUUCUAGCAAACCAGAUAUCUUGAACCUCUAGCAAAUAAAGGAUGAUAAGAAAAAUUGUUAUUGGGCGACUGAUUUAAGACAAUCUAGAACAAUACUGAACCAGUGUAAGAGCUCUCUCACUGGAAGUCUUGGUCAAAUUACUAGAAAAGUUGCCUCAAUUAGCAAUAUGCCAGACAUUUUUUUAUAGGCAAAGAUAAUAUUGAAGCACUUAACAAAAAGUGAGCAAAGGUAUACAUGGUGUAGACAAAGGUGCUAAGGAAAAACAAAAAACAACCACCCCUACCCAAACUUAAAAGGGCCUCUCAAAAUAGUGUGCAACACUUGUUUUAUCCCAAAAAGAGCAUAACAAUGAAGUAGCAUAUGAUCAACUGUUUCUUCCUCGUCUUUGCACAAAUAGCAUCUAUUCAGAAUUCAACAUCCCCUCAUUCUAAGCUGGUCCAAUGCCAAAAUCCUCCCCCUAGUAGCUUCCCAUGCAAAGAAACCCACCCAAAGAUUCCAAACCAAGCUUGUAGGGAACGCCUCUGAAUUUUCAAAGGAAAAGGACUACAUAGACUUAACAAAGAACUUGCCACAUCUAGUGCACUGCCAAACCAUCUUAUUCUCUAUACCAAUGCAAAACAACAGCACCUGUAAUUUCCUGAAAAAGGUCUCGACCUCAUCUAGUUCCCAGUCAUGAAUCUGUCUUGCAAACCUAGGGUUCCAACACCUACCCUCCCCAGUCUGCUCCCACAUCUCAGCUACCCAUGCAUGUUUGGAGGAAGCUAUUGAGAGUAGCAUAAGGAAAGCCUCACUUAAGGGUUCAUCCCUAAACUUUAAGAUGCCAGCUAUGAUGUCUGAUUAAGUGAGGAGAUGUUAAUGAAGAAAGAGAACAAAAGUCCAUAUAAAAUGCAUAUAAGGAUCAACGAGAGUGGAACAUGUUGCCAAAGGGUUAUCAGAUAUUGGUGUUGGUUCUAGGAUUUCUUACAAAAAGCCAAACAAAAAUGUUUUGAGACCAAAAAACCUUUUACUAUAAUUUUAGACAUUUGCAAGUGGCCCCUUUAACUUCUCAUAUUUUACAAAAUAAAUUAAUAAAUUCUCUAUUUCUAGAAGCCCCAAUAAUUAGCAUUACUAUAAUUCAACUCACACUGUUUCUUUAACUCAGCCUUUAAAUGAAAAUGUCUUUCAGUUAAUCUAUACAUAAUGUUUGGACACCGAAAAAUAUUCUGGUGGUCCAACAUAUACAACACCUAGACUCACCCAAACCGAAUGAUGAUAUCCAAGUUCAUGUGAUAUAGGUCAGGUGACCAUCAUCAUCUGUCUGAACAAAAUGUACAGUCUCUGAUCCAUUUCCAUUGCAAGUUAUUUCCCCCAUGAAUCAUCCUUUUCUAUCUUCUGAAUUUCCUAAACUCCUUUUACCCAUCCAGGGUUUCUUUUCCUUUCUGAUCCAUAUUAGAGUUUCCUCAACUAUGGAUAUUUCACCUUUAAAAAGAUGUUUUCAACAUUUGUCAUUAUAAAAGAUAGAAUUUGCCAAUCUUCUCUAAAUUUCAUUAAUGAGCAAGUAGCCUAACCCCAAAUCUUUAAUUCAAUUAACAAAUUUCCAUAAAAGCUUGUAAAGUAACAUUUCAACUCUUUAUAAAGUAAACUGCAAAUAGGAAAUGAGAAGAAGACAUAAAGGGUGGUAAUUAGCCAACCUCUCAGUAAAUGUCUCCCUUGGAAGUUGGAAAGCCCUUUUUACCUCAAUCGCUUUCCCGAUAUAAAUAAAAAUUUCCAGAAAAAAAAAAAAAAUUAAAGUCAUUUGAAGAUGUGUGACAUGUGUCUCAGUUGCAGUAUGAUUUAAAAACAAAUAAACUAAUAAAAAUCUAGCUCCAAAAUAUACUAAUUUUACGUCUUACAUGCAAACUCCCAUGUUGCACACUACCGUAUAAUAUAGGAAAGGUGAUCCUGUUACUACCUCCAAUAAUUUAAUCUCCACUUAACACCACUCUAAUUUUGAGGCUAAGAAAGAUAUUUAGACAUAAUAAGUCUGCAUUCCUAUUAGCAACAUUUUUCCCAAGACAUGGACACUGAGAUGGCAGCUUCUGCCACCCACUUUUGUCCCAAUAGAUUCUGACUGAGGCUCCAAUACUAAAUAGAGAAAGGUGUUUUUUCUUCUUUCUGCUCAAAUCAAAAGUGAUUGUCAACUUCUUGAUUAGAAACACACAUAUUUUGAGCACUCCUGUAAGUAACACUAGCAUGAUUUGUAAAGCUGUGUGUGAAGCAAAACCAAUGCAAUAAGCAUUAUUACAUAGUUCAAGAAAUAAACCUUUAUAGAACCCAAAUUUAAUUAUAUUAAAUAAAAGAAAUGUGUGAGAUGAGAUGUUCCUUAGAAAGAGAAUAUACAUGGAUAUAAGUAGACUAGAUGAACAUAGAGCUCUGUUCAAAAACAAUAAAACCCACCCAUAGAUCCCAGCUUCCAAAACAUAGGAAGUCCACAAUAACUCAAGAGCAUUUAAUAGUAUUCUCCAAGGAUCAAAUAUGCUCAGGUAGAGAAGGAGACUGUGACUCCUUCAAGAAGAGAAGAGAGGCUGACGCAAAAAGCUCACUAUCUUUGACACCAAGGAAAAAAGGAAAGAAAAAUGCAAGUUUUGAGGAGAUUGCAUAGAGGGGGUGACAGAGGUGCUGACCACAAAAUUAUGAACUUCCCCACAACAUUAUAAGAACAAUUUUAAUAGUAUUCUCCAAGGAUCAAAUAUGCUCAGGUAGAGAAGGAGACUGUGACUCCUUCAAGAAGAGAAGAGAGGCUGACGCAAAAAGCUCACUAUCAUUGACACCAAGGAAAAAAGGAAAGAAAAAUGCAAGUUUUGAGGAGAUUGCAUAGAGGGGGUGACAGAGGUGCUGACCACGAAAUUAUGAACUUCCCCACAACAUUAUAAGAACAAUUUUAAUUUUCCAAAGCACCACAAGCCUCCUCAAAAUUUGAAGAUUUCAGAUAAAGUACAGGGUGCAUUGAUAGUUCUAUCCCUUCCCUGAAUUUAGAGAGAACAAUCACAUAACAUCACACAGUUUUGAGGAAUUCUUAUGCCAAAUUCUAUUAUUUAGUCAUUGCAAGUAUAUGAGAAAAUUUAAUGAUGUUCCUGCAACAGCUUCGAAGGUUUGAAUUCCUAUAGGAGGUCUAAAUAGGCUACAAAAGCUUCAGAAAAUUUUUAGAACUGCAAAUAUAGCAUAUAUCAGCUUAAAGAUAGCCAAGAAGUACACAGAAUAAUCCUAAUACAUAUUAAAAUAUAAAAAAUAAAAAAUGGGGUGAGGAAGACAAGAACCAUGUCAAAAGAAAAGGAUUAUUGCUAAAAUACCUAAUGAACAUAUCAUUAAUAUUGCAGAUAAACAAGGAAAAUGUUGUAGACAAGCAUGGAUUUGUGUUUAUGUCGAAAACUCAAAUAAAUGGUACUAUUGCACUGGUUUUCAUAAUUGUGUUAUAUUAACUUAACU